rnacentral:rRNA from 1 species
GUGAGGAAUUUUCCGCAAUGGGCGAAAGCCUGACGGAGCAAUGCCGCGUGAAGGAUGAAGGCCUAUGGGUUGUAAACUUCUUUUCUCAGAAAAGAAUUAUGACGGUAUCUGAGGAAUAAGCAUCGGCUAACUCUGUGCCAGCAGCCGCGGUAAGACAGAGGAUGCAAGCGUUAUCCGGAAUGAUUGGGCGUAAAGCGUCUGUAGGUUGUUUAAAAAGUAUUCUGUCAAAGAUUAGGGCUUAACCCUAGAUAGGCAGAAUAAACUUUUAAGCUAGAGUUUGGUAGAGGCAGAGGGAAUGCCCGGUGGAGCGGUGAAAUGCGUAGAUAUCGGGAGGAACACCAAAGGCGAAGGCACUCUGCUGGGCCAAUACUAACACUGAGAGACGAAAGAGAGGGGAGCAAAUGGGAUUAGAUACCCUUGUAGUCC